UUGUUAGCAAUAAUAAAAAAUCCUGAUUUAGAUAAAAUGGAUUCAAAUACAGUUUUUGAAACAAAACGAAUGUGAUUUGAAGAUCCCUAGGAAGAUCAAAUUCCUAGCUUACAUUUGCAUGGUGAGUUCAACAAGUAUUUGUUAUUAGAGAACAAGUAACACAGUUAGUGGUGUAGGGAAGCAAACGAAUGUAACACCAAUUGAAAGUCCUUCAACAAGUAGAGAUGCACACAUGUUUCAAUCAUUUGAGAUACCCUUUUGUAGAAGUAUUUGGAACUCAAUUUGGAAGAUAACUAUUAAUAAUUUCAUUUGUAAAGAUACGAUUUGUAAAAAAGUAUAUACAAAGUGGUUUUGCUGGUAUUAAAUAAAUAAAUAAAAAUACGUUG
rnacentral:lncRNA from 1 species